AUGACGCUCGACGCGCACUACCUCCGGGGCUCCAUGGCCCCGGAGUCGAUCUUGUUGCUCAAGCACGCCUCCUUCCCGGAGUCGAUCUUCUUCCACUUCCUCGCCGCCGACGGCGGCGCCGUGCCCGAGGUGGGCGAGCUCCGAAGCGCGCUCGCCGCCUCCUUCCCGUCGCCGCGGUUCGAGAUCUACCCGUUUUGGGCCGACGCCGUCACGGGGCUCAUCUCCGCCUCGGUGCGCGCCGCGCUCGAGGCGCCGCUCAACUACGCCAGGAACUACCUCGCCGACCUGCUCCCCAAGUGCGUGUCGUGGGCCAUUUACCUCGACUCGGGCGUGCUCGCCGUCGACGACGUGCGCCGCCUGUGGGAGACGCGCCUGCCCGCCGUCGUCGUCGUCGCCGCGCCCGAGUACUGCCACGCCAACUUCUCCCGCCACUUCACCGACGCCUUCUGGUCCGACCCGGACCUCGACGCGCGCGUCUUCGCGGGCCGCCGCCGCGCGCCCUGCUACUUCAACACCGGCUUCAUGGUCAUUGACCUUCGGCGCUGGCGCUCGGGGAACUACCGCCACCGUGUCGAGCUGUGGAUGGAGUUGCAGACGGAGAAGCGAAUCAACGAGCUGGGGUCCUUGCUCCUCUUCGUUGGCGAGGUGGAGGCUGUCGACCAUCGGUGGAACCAGCACGGCUUGGGCGGCGACAACAUUCUUGGUAGCUGCCGCCCGCUCCACAAGGGCCUGUCAGCCUGA
rnacentral:rRNA from 1 species